ensembl:lncRNA
GGUGCGAUAGGGAGGAGAGGAAGAAGGGGGGUAUGAUAGGGAGGAGAGGAAGAAGGGGGAUAUGAUAGGGAGGAGAGGAAGAAGGGGGUAUGAUAGGGAGGAGAGGAAGAAGGAGGUAUGAUAGGGAGGAGAGGAAGAAGGAGGUAUGAUAGGGAGGAGAGGAAGAAGGAGGUAUGAUAGGGAGGAGAGGAAGAAGGGGGUAUGAUAGGGAGGAGAGGAAGAAGGAGGUAUGAUAGGGAGGAGAGGAAGAAGGAGGUAUGAUAGGGAGGAGAGGAAGAAGGAGGUAUGAUAGGGAGGAGAGGAAGAAGGAGG